CAUACUCACUGAGGAGAGAUGCAGGUAGAACCAGAAGUGAGCAUGAUGAUCAUCUUUCCUUCAACAUUACCUGAACAAGUUAUAAAGUUCCAAUUGUAUAAUAAUAAGAUCCACAGAGCCACCUUCACCAAGUCCAUUCUACUUCCAGCACAAUUGUGCUUGCAACCUCAGUUUAAUUACUAACCUCUUAUUGCCUAGAGGGAUGGCAGUCCUUUUAGCCAUGGAUCCCCAGAGGUUUCCCCCAUGGGGUUUUUCCUCUCCUGAGUGCUGGAGGAUGACUCUAAGUGAGUCCAGAGGGCGUUUUCUGUACUCUCGAGUCCUACUUAAUGUACUUGACCAGGCUUUUUGUAGAGAAUAUCAAAAACCACAUUAUGCUAGGUGGUACUUACUUGUAACUUUCAACUA